GGGGCUAAAAGGAACCCAGGCCGAUCGGCCUGGGGUUUCCUUUGCUCCCUCGCCUUCCAGUUUUUACCACGCGCUCUUUGAACUAUAAAUACCCCAAAAAAUCCACCGAGCCCUAUAUCCAAGAUGACGUGCUCAAUGUGAAGCAGCAGAGAAGCAGAAGAAGCUUGAGGGACACCUCUCCAGAGAGCCGAGGGCCAUGCAGUUGUCGGGGGCUAGCGUAGGCGAACUUCUGCCAGCGUGAUCAUCCUGCGAGGAAGAUCACGCUGGAGUUCUGGAGGUAGAAGUUAUCAAGAUCAAGGUAGGAUUCUAGUGGUGAUCUUGUGAUGUACAAUCAUUCAUGGUGAAAUAAUAGAUGUGUUCAUGUUAUUAGCAAUCUAAGUAUCUCCUUUGAUGGUUUUAUGCUUUAUCAGGUUUGCUUGCUUUUCAAUCUAUGAAUCAAUGAUAGAUUGCCUAGGGUAUUCUUGUGG
rnacentral:lncRNA from 1 species